GAUGAACGCUAGCGGCAGGCUUAAUACAUGCAAGUCGUGGGGCAGCAUGAGUAGCAAUACUUGAUGGCGACCGGCAAACGGGUGAGGAACACGUACACAACCUUCCUUCAAGCGGGGAAUAGCCCAGAGAAAUUUGGAUUAAUACCCCAUAAUAUAUUUGAUAGGGCAUCUUAUUAAUAUUAAAGCUUCGGCACUUGAUGAUGGGUGUGCGGCUGAUUAGAUAGUUGGCGGGGUAACGGCCCACCAAGUCUACGAUCGGUAGCUGAUGUGAGAGCAUGAUCAGCCACACGGGCACUGAGACACGGGCCCGACUCCUACGGGAGGCAGCAGUAAGGAAUAUUGGACAAUGGACGAAAGUCUGAUCCAGCCAUGCCGCGUGAAGGAUUAAGGUCCUCUGGAUUGUAAACUUCUUUAUAUGGGACAAAAAGGGCAUUCUUGUUCACUUGACGGUACCAUAUGAAUAAGCACCGGCUAACUCCGUGCCAGCAG
rnacentral:rRNA from 1 species